UGGGGAAUAUUGGGCAAUGGGCGCAAGCCUGACCCAGCAACGCCGCGUGAAGGAAGAAGGCUUUCGGGUUGUAAACUUCUUUUCUCAGGGACGAAGAAAGUGACGGUACCUGAGGAAUAAGCCACGGCUAACUACGUGCCAGCAGCCGCGGUAAUACGUAGGUGGCAAGCGUUAUCCGGAUUUAUUGGGUGUAAAGGGCGUGUAGGCGGGAGCGCAAGUCAGAUGUGAAAACUCAGGGCUCAACCCUGAGCCUGCAUUUGAAACUGUGUUUCUUGAGUGCUGGAGAGGCAAUCGGAAUUCCGUGUGUAGCGGUGAAAUGCGUAGAUAUACGGAGGAACACCAGUGGCGAAGGCGGAUUGCUGGACAGUAACUGACGCUGAGGCGCGAAAGCGUGGGGAGCAAACAGG
rnacentral:rRNA from 1 species